rnacentral:rRNA from 1 species
UACGUAGGGGCCUAGCGUUGUCCGGAUUUAUUGGGCGUAAAGAGCUCGUAGGCGGUUUGGUGAGUCGGGUGUGAAAUCUCCACGCUCAACGUGGAGGGGCCACCCGAUACUGCCAUACUAGAGUCCGGUAGGGGAGUGUGGAAUUCCCGGUGUAGCGGUGAAAUGCGCAGAUAUCGGGAGGAACACCAGUAGCGAAGGUGACACUCUGGGCCGGUACUGACGCUGAGGAGCGAAAGCGUGGGGAGCAAACAGG